rnacentral:rRNA from 1 species
AUACGUAGGGGGCAAGCGUUGUCCGGAAUUACUGGGCGUAAAGCGCACGCAGGCUGACUUAUAAGUCGGUAGUCUAAUGCGGAGGCUCAACUUCCGUUUAUCUAUCGAGACUGUAAGGCUAGAGUAUGUGAGAGGGAAGUGGAAUUCCAGGUGUAGCGGUGAAAUGCGUAGAUAUCGGGAGGAACACCAGUGGCGAAGGCGACUUCCUGGCACAAUACUGACGCUCAUGUGCGAAAGCUAGGGUAGCGAACGGGAUUAGAUACCCCGGUAGUCCUAGCCGUAAACGAUGGAUACUAGGUGUGGGUGUCGCAGGGCAUCCGUGCCGCAGCUAACGCGUUAAGUAUCCCGCCUGGGGACUACGGUCGCAAGACUGAAACUCAAAUGAAUUGACGGGG